GGCUCAGGACGAACGGCUGGCGGCGUGCUUAACACAUGCAAGUCGAACGGGGCUCAGCGAGAGAAGUUUCGGACAGAUCUUGCGAAAGCUUAGUGGCGGACGGGUGAGUAACGGCGUGAGGAACCUGCCUUUCAGAGGGGGACAACAGUUGGAAACGACUGCUAAUACCGCAUAAUGCAGGAAGACGGCAUCGUCAUUCUGCCAAAGGAGCGAUCCGCUGAAAGAUGGCCUCGCGUCUGAUUAGAUAGUUGCGGGGUAACGGCCCACCAAGUCGACGAUCAGUAGCCGGACUGAGAGGUUGGCCGGCCACAUUGGGACUGAGACACGGCCCAGACUCCUACGGGAGGCAGCAGUGGGGAAUAUUGCGCAAUGGGGGGAAAAACCCCUGACGCAGCAACGCCGCGUGAAGGAAGAAGGUCUUCGGAUUGUAAACUUUUGUUGUCGGGGAAGAUAAUGACAGUACCCGAUGAGGAAGCUCCGGCUAACUACGUGCCAGCCGCCGC
rnacentral:rRNA from 1 species